CAUGCUAGACCAGUUUGAUCAUGGCUCAGAACGAACGCUGGCGGCGCGCCUAACACAUGCAAGUCGAGCGAGAAUCCGGGGCAACCCGGUAGUAAAGUGGCAAACGGGUGAGGAAUACAUGGGUAACCUACCCUUGAGAAGGGAAUAACCCGCCGAAAGGUGAGCUAAUACCCUAUACGCUAUCUUUUUUUCGAAAAGGAUAGGAAAGCCGGGUCGAGGACCUGGUACUCAAGGAGGGGCUCAUGUCCUAUCAGCUUGUUGGUGGGGUAACGGCCUACCAAGGCUACGACGGGUAGCUGGUCUGAGAGGAUGAUCAGCCACACUGGCACUGAGAUACGGGCCAGACUCCUACGGGAGGCAGCAGUGAGGAAUAUUGCGCAAUGGGCGAAAGCCUGACGCAGCGACGCCGCGUGGGGGAGUGAAGGUUUUCGGAUUGUAAACCCCUUUCAUGAGGAAAGAUAAAGUGAGUAACCACUUAGACGGUACCUCAAGAAGAAGCCACGGCUAACUUCGUG
rnacentral:rRNA from 1 species